CUAACGUUUGCUCACUAUCACUCUCUCUUGUAAAAUAUUCUGAAGUUAUAAAAUAAGUUUUAAAGUAUUUCUGGUGCAUCCUUCUUUCCUUGAUUGUGUUUCCCUUCACUCUUGUAAGUUUUUGUUACUUAUACUUUAUUAUUGUUUGCAUUAGCCUAAUGAUAGGCUAAAACCCUUUUAAGUGUUAAAUAAGUUCAUGAAAUUAUGGCUUUACUAAUUUUAUAGAAACCUUAGGUAUCAUAUAGCUAUUUGAAAUACAAAAGUCUAGGUUAAUAACAUGUAAUUUAAAUUGAAAUGUUUCACCAUUAGUUGUGAUGUUGCCCAUCUUUUAGCCAAGCUUUGGCGUUCUUAGCGUUGUUUGUCAUUGACUUGGUAUAUAUCAACGUUUCAAAUUCACAAAAAGAAAGAUCAGUUAGCAAAAAUAUACCUUAUUGAUGUAAGCAACAAUAAAGGUGGCAUAGUUAACAGCAUAACCAAGAUCAAGAACUUGAGAUGUAGAAUCCAUGGAAUGGACAUUCGUCUUCAAUGACCUAUCUAUAAUCAGAAGAUGAGAUAUAGAAGAAUUUUUCAAAUACAAUACAAUAGCAUAAGAAAAAUGAGGAUAAAAAAAUCAGAUGCAAAAGAGAUGCCCUGAACUGUAGUCAUCAGCCAUACCUUUUUAGCUGUUGUAGUAAUCUUGUUUCUUGACAGCGUUCAACAUCUAAUCUACAAAAAACCUGAAUUUUGUUGGUUGUGAAUCUAUCAUCAAGAUACAAGAAAAUAAAAGAGAAAGAAAUGUCAGAUAGAGGCGUGAAACAUGUGUAUCACUUAUCCAUAAUAUUUUCAGUUUCAUCUCCGAAUCAAGAUCUGCUACUUGAUGCAAUUUGAUAACCCAUAUUAAAACUCUUUUUCAUUCCCUUUAGAUUCAUAUUCAUCUAAAUCUGAAUACCAUUUUUCAAACCUAAAAGAAAACAUAAAUCAGAAUUUGAAAGAAAACUAAACACAUAAACUUAGAUUUCAAACAUGAGAAAAUAUUUUUUCAAGAAAGUCAGCAAUGUCAAGCUUAAACUUAAAUAAAAAACAUACACAUAUGGUUAAAGACAUACACAAACACACACAGUUAGAGAGAUGGAAAAGGUUAGCGAUGGUUGUGCUGAUUUUUAUAGAGAGACAGAGAAACUCAGAUGUGGCGGUGGUGAGGAUGUUAUAGCAAUAAACAGAGAAUGUGAGGGUGAGGGAUGGCGGAAAUCGGUGGUGAUAGGUUUGUUAGGGUUACUAUUUAGGGUUAGAUGGAAAAAGAAAAUGUAAAGAGAAGGAGAGCGUGGUUUUCAAAAGAAUUUAGAUAUUAGGGUUUUGGAUGAUUGACAUAUUAAGGUUCCAAAAAUUAGUGGAUGGGAAGCUUUGGUAUUUCAUAGAGCGAUCAAGUUGAAAUAUAGGGAAGGCAAACGAUUUACAAUUAUAUGGGAAGCGAUUAUAUGAGACUUAGUCAAAAGGCAGAAGAUAAGCGAAUAAACCAUCGACCAUACUUAUCUUAGACUUUUUCAGUUGUUAUAAUUUAGUGCAUAAAGUUGUUGUAUAUGAUGUUUUAGAGGUUGUACCUCUUAAAAUUCAACAUUUGAGGCUAAAUGCUUAUUAAGGUAUAAAGAUAUACCAUAAAAUCCAGAGAAGGCCUAGGGGUACCAUAUAGUCACUUCAAAAUACAGUCAUAGGUUUAUUUACAAUAACAAGUAAUUUAAUUAUAAUUUAUUAGAUUUUGAUGAUAUUAUAGGAUUUUGAUAUGAAUUUGUUUACUUGAGAUGAAGAUAAUGAAGACUCGAAUUGGACUGACGUUAUUUUUGGUCCCGGAAAGAUCCAAUUAUGCUAUUGAACAUUGAUUUGGUGUCAAUAUUGAAGAACAUGUUACUUAUUAGAUAUGAUGAUGCAUUAUAAAAGUAGAUGUCAAGAUGACAAAUAAUUUUGAGGGAUAAUUAUGUGGAUGGAAAAAGUGAAAGAUGAGAUGCUGCUACAGGUUUGUACCAUCAGUCUCCAUCCUAGCCUCCAAUGGCAAUAUAUGGUUGUUUCUUUUUAAACAUAUGUACCUAUUUAUAGCCUUGUACAUUUAGAUCUUUUCUUAUUAGUACAUUAUCCAAGUAUGAAAAUAUUUGAAAGGACAAUGAUGUAAUAAAGGCAAACAAGAUUAUGAUGAUUUAUUCUAUCAUAUUUCUGAGUUUUGACA